rnacentral:rRNA from 1 species
AUUGAACGCUGGCGGCAUGCUUUACACAUGCAAGUCGAACGGUAACACGCCGCAAGGUGCUGAUGAGUGGCGAACGGUUGCGUAAUGCAUCGGAACGUGCCCAGUCGUGGGGGAUAAUUACUCGAAAGAGUAGCUAACUCCGCCUACUACCUAUGGCUGAAUGCGGGGGACAGUAGGGCCUCGUGCGAUCUUGGCGGCUGAUGUCAGAUUAUGUAGUUGGAGGGAGAAAGGGCCACCAAGCCAACCACCGGAAACUGUUCUGAGCGGACCACCGACCACACAGGGCCUGAGCCACGUCCCAGACUCCGAGGGGGGGCAGAAGUGGGGAAUUUUGGACAAGGGGCGCAAGCCUGUGCCAGCAAAGCCGCGUGCAGGAAGAAGCCCUUCGGGUUGUAAACUGCUUUUGUAGGGAACGAAACGGCUCUGGUAAAAACCCGGGGCUAAUGACGGUACCGUAAGAAUAGGCACCGGCUAACUACGU